AAUCAACUAAACUGGGUAUGAUGAGCCCGCUAAGAACACCAGCGCUUUUGCUCCUCCAAGGUCUUUUUUUUCGAAAGAAAGAAAGAUCUUCUUAGGGGGACGAAUUCAUUUCGCUGAUAUGCCCUGGCACAAAACUCACCACUCUGAAAGGGGACAAUUUGAGGAAAUCUCUGACCC
rnacentral:snoRNA from 1 species